CCUACGGGAGGCAGCAGUGGGGAAUUUUGGACAAUGGGCGCAAGCCUGAUCCAGCAAUGCCGCGUGAGUGAAGAAGGCCUUCGGGUUGUAAAGCUCUUUUGUCAGGGAAGAAAAGGGUCUGGCUAAUAUCUAGGCCUCAUGACGGUACCUGAAGAAUAAGCACCGGCUAACUACGUGCCAGCAGCCGCGGUAAUACGUAGGGUGCAAGCGUUAAUCGGAAUUACUGGGCGUAAAGCGUGCGCAGGCGGUUUUGUAAGACUGUCGUGAAAUCCCCGGGCUCAACCUGGGAAUGGCGAUGGUGACUGCAAGGCUAGAGUUUGGCAGAGGGGGGUAGAAUUCCACGUGUAGCAGUGAAAUGCGUAGAUAUGUGGAGGAACACCGAUGGCGAAGGCAGCCCCCUGGGUCAAAACUGACGCUCAUGCACGAAAGCGUGGGGAGCAAACAGGAUUAGAUACCCUGGUAGUCCACGCCCUAAACGAUGUCUACUAGUUGUCGGGUCUUAAUUGACUUGGUAACGCAGCUAACGCGUGAAGUAGACCGCCUGGGGAGUACGGUCGCAAGAUUAAAACUUAAAUGAAUUGACGG
rnacentral:rRNA from 1 species